rnacentral:snRNA from 1 species
AGCUUUGCGCAGUGGCGGUACCAUAGCCAAUGAGGUAUAUCCCGAGGCGUGGUUUAUUGCUAGUUGAAAACUAUACCCAAUACCCCGCGCCGACGCCCUGAAAUAUGGGCGUCGAGCGCAAAUUUAUGAAACGUCUACCCUACGGGGAC